UUGACUUGCCUUUCGGUGGAGGCGGAUGAGAGAGGCAGCCCAGAGUAGUAGAGCACAGAACAAGACUCUCGUUGACAACACUGUACGGCGAAGAAGACUUUAACACAACUGAGGAAUCGUCAGCAACGUCCAAGUUGGUCGAUCCAGCUGCUGAGCACCGCAGGUUUAUGGAGCUGCUUACGUCUGCACUCGUACUGGAGACAAACUCCCAGAUCCCAGUCUGACAUGGAAGACAAGAGUCGAGACGAGUCGAGAAGAGUCGAGACGUCACAGACCCAGAGGGACAGAGACACAGAAGGAUAGAGACACUUGUCCAUUUUACCUGACCAUGUGAGGAAGGCACACAGGUUCUGGGAGGCUGACGGUGUAGAACACUUCUGCUGCUGCAUGCUGGGAAACACCACCCCCAUCUGAAGCUGCAGGUUCUGCAGCCAUCGGCUGAAUCGAGACAAACAGAUGUGGAGCGGGACCCCGGCCUCAACUUGGCCCUGGAACAGGAAGAGAAGUUUUACAAAGACAACAUUUAAUGUUAUAAAACUCAGAGUUGUUAAUACUAGUGUUGUGUGUUUGUCC